rnacentral:misc_RNA from 1 species
UUUCCGUAGGUGAACCUGCGGAAGGAUCAUUACCUAGAGUUGUAGGCUUUGCCUGCUAUCUCUUACCCAUGUCUUUUGAGUACCUUCGUUUCCUCGGUGGGUUCGCCCGCCGGUGGACAACCAAAACUCUUUGUAAUAGCAGUAUCUUCUGAAAAAAACAAAUAGUCAAAACUUUCAACAACGGAUCUCUUGGUUCUGGCAUCGAUGAAGAACGCAGC